UACGAAGGAUUCGAGCGUUAUCCGGAUUUAUUGGGCUUAAAGGGUGCGUAGGCGGUUUAAUAAGUCAGUGGUGAAAGCCCAGAGCUCAACUCUGGAACUGCGAUUGAUACUGUUAAUCUUGAGUACAGUUGAGGUGGGCGGAAUGUGUCAUGUAGCGGUGAAAUGCUUAGAUAUGACACAGAACACCGAUGGCGAAGGCAGCCCACUGAGCUGUAACUGACACUGAGGCACGAAAGCGUGGGGAGCAAACAGG
rnacentral:rRNA from 1 species